ACAAUCAGUUCCUUUAUAGUGGCCCCAGCAGGCAGUACAUGAGACCGGUUGUCCUGACAGAUGAGCAAAAGCAGGCAGUGAUUCAAGAAUGCUACAACAAACCUGGCACUGACUGGCAACAACAGACUGGAGUGAUAUUCCAUCUUUUUGUGAGUGGUGGUGCAUUCAUCACAUGGAGCGGUACUCCAUUGAAGGAGGAUGCAAAGGCACUGAUGGCUGGAGCAGUAGAGACACUUAAGACUGCCUCGCAGACAUUCACCAGGCAACCCAACCAAGGUAUGGCCAGUGUCCAUCCAGCAUUUUGUCACUUCAUGUAUCAACUAGCUUGUCUUCCACUGUUGUUGUUGCUCAUGCAGGGUAGUGUCAUACCAACUGUUGAUCUUAUGGUUGUCAACUAGGGCUGCAACUAACGAUUAUUUUAAUAAUCGAUUAAUCUGUCGAUAAUUUUUUUUUUUAUUAAUCGCAGAAUCGAAUAAAAAAAAAAACCCAAACA
rnacentral:lncRNA from 1 species